GCUGGUCUGAGAGGAUGAUCAGCCACACCGGGACUGAGACACGGCCCGGACUCCUACGGGAGGCAGCAGUGGGGAAUAUUGGACAAUGGGGGAAACCCUGAUCCAGCCAUGCCGCGUGUGUGAAGAAGGCCUUUUGGUUGUAAAGCACUUUAAGCAGUGAAGAAGACUCCUCGGUUAAUACCCGUGGACGAUGACAUUAGCUGCAGAAUAAGCACCGGCUAACUCUGUGCCAGCAGCCGCGGUAAUACAGAGGGUGCAAGCGUUAAUCGGAAUUACUGGGCGUAAAGGGAGCGUAGGUGGCUCGAUAAGUCAGAUGUGAAAUCCCCGGGCUCAACCUGGGAACUGCAUCUGAUACUGUUGAGCUAGAGUAUGUGAGAGGAAGGUAGAAUUCCAGGUGUAGCGGUGAAAUGCGUAGAGAUCUGGAGGAAUACCGAUGGCGAAGGCAGCCUUCUGGCAUAAUACUGACACUGAGGCUCGAAAGCGUGGGUAGCAAACAGGAUUAGAUACCCUGGUAGUCCACGCCGUAAACGAUGUCUACUAGUCGUUGGGUCCCUUGAGGACUUAGUGACGCAGCUAACGCAAUAAGUAGACCGCCUGGGGA
rnacentral:rRNA from 1 species